UACGUAGGGUGCGAGCGUUGUCCGGAUUUAUUGGGCGUAAAGAGCUCGUAGGCGGUUUGUCGCGUCGGCCGUGAAAUCUCCACGCUUAACGUGGAGCGUGCGGUCGAUACGGGCAGACUUGAGUUCGGUAGGGGAGACUGGAAUUCCUGGUGUAGCGGUGAAAUGUGCAGAUAUCAGGAGGAACACCGGUGGCGAAGGCGGGUCUCUGGGCCGAUACUGACGCUGAGGAGCGAAAGCGUGGGGAGCGAACAGG
rnacentral:rRNA from 1 species